UGUUUCCAUGCUUGAGUGUAUGUCAAUAAAACUCGACCAUUUGACUUUGAAGCAUUCAUGAAUGGUGGGGGUAUAAUGUAGUCAUAGAGUGAUACAGUGUGAAAACAGGCCCUUUGGUGGAACUUGCCCACACCCGCCAACAUGUCCCAGCUACACAACCUGCUU